rnacentral:rRNA from 3 species
CGGGACCUCAGGUCAG